rnacentral:rRNA from 1 species
GAUUUCUGGCCUGACGUGCCUGGCCCGCUGGCGUUAGCCAUGUGAGUGCCGGGACGCGUCUGCCAUCCUUCUAGUGCACAUUCCUACUCUUCAUUGAGCCGGGGAUGCUGAGCUAGAUCUUUUACUUUGAAAAAAUUAGAGUGUUUAAAGCAGGCUUUUGCUAUGAAUACAUUAGCAUGGAAUAAUAAUCUAGGACUUCGGUUCUAUUUUGUUGGUUUCUAGGACUGAAGUAAUGAUUGAUAGGGAUAGUUGGGGGUGCUAGUAUUCAGCGGCCAGAGGUGAAAUUCUCGGAUUCGCUGAAGACUAACUUAUGCGAAAGCAUU